GACGAACGCUGGCGGCGUGCCUAAUACAUGCAAGUCGAGCGGACGUUUUGUUGGUGCUUGCACCGACUUAACGUUAGCGGCGGACGGGUGAGUAACACGUGGGCAACCUGCCCUGUAGUCUGGGAUAACUCCGGGAAACCGGGGCUAAUACCGGAUGAUACUUUUUGGCUCAUGUCAGAAAGUUGAAAGAUGGUUCUGCUAUCGCUACAGGAUGGGCCCGCGGCGCAUUCGCUAGUUGGCGAGGUAACGGCUCACCAAGGCGACGAUGCGUAGCCGACCUGAGAGGGUGAUCGGCCACACUGGGACUGAGACACGGCCCAGACUCCUACGGGAGGCAGCAGUAGGGAAUCUUCCACAAUGGACGAAAGUCUGACGGAGCAACGCCGCGUGAGUGAAGAAGGAUUUCGGUUCGUAAAACUCUGUUGUAAGGGAAGAACAAGUACAGUAGUAACUGGCUGUACCUUGACGGUACCUUAUUAGAAAGCCACGGCUAACUACGUGCCAGCAGCCGCCGUAACAC
rnacentral:rRNA from 1 species